GCAGAAAAUGUGUGGAAUGAUCGUCCAGAUUCCUUCCGUCUUAUAUACUCCCGCAAUUUUAAUUUCCGAUUCGUCACCUUGUCGCUAAAAUUGUCAACAUCUUUAUUAUUUUUUACAUUCCAAUUCCUCAUAUAGCGACGACAUUUUUUCCUCGUUGAAUUGUUGGAGUGAUGUAGACCUUAUUUGUCUUCAAAAGACCAUCUUGUUAUUUUUAGCAUAGUUGAUCUUUUGAAAUCUUUUACGGCCGUCCUAAUGCGGUUUGAAUACGGUCGCCUUAGCCUAGGAUUACGUCCAACAGAUUGGCUCAAAAUGGAAUUCGAAAUGAGUUUUUCUCUGCAUUUUAACUCAACUACACAUACAAGAAAUCCUUCCUGUAAAGUCUAACAAGACCCACUCGAGUUUAAAUGUAUAGAUAAGCGCACUAUGAAAUAGCCGUUUUAUUUAUUUUUUUAAAUGCUGGAAAUGGCAUCGGUUUUUCGUCAAGGUAAUUCGAGAUUCAGAAAUCCAAUCUUUUUUUGGCAAGGAUCAGCGAAAAAAAAAGUGAACCUUGGGAAAGUUCAACGUAGGAUUUUGCCCCCCUCGAAAAAGAAUGGCGAUACAAACCAUAUCUGCAAUGGCCGUAAAAAAAAUACAUGCUGGCCAAAUUCGCUUAAAUAACAGCAAACAAAACGAAAAAGACUUUUGAAUCAAUACCGGGAUUUAUUUGAAAUAUUUUUUUUUCCUAUACUGGGAGACUAGGUGUGUAUAGCUUUCGAAAAAAGAAUAGGAUGAAUCAAAGAUAUAAAGCAGCAGGUUGCGUGACCAUAUUUGUGGGACUCUAUUUAUAAGGACCGAAUGAAGGCAAAAGGUGAAAUGCCAUUCCAUUUUUUCAAAAAUCUAAGUUCAGGAUUAUAAACUCGAAGGUGUUCAAAUGGAUUGGUUGAUAGCCACAGGACAACUCCCAUAAGGAGAUUAGAUUAGAUUUUUUUUUUUUUUUGGUUGAAUAUCAAAUUAUUCCAAGCAGUUGCUAAGGUGUUGACCGCCUAGCUCGUGUAAAACCCGAUCUUAUUCUGCGCACGUACUAAUACGAGUAAUGGGAUCUCGGUCGGGGACCAUUUAUGACUUCUCUUGAUUCACGCUCACGCUCGUUGUUGCUCACGUAAUAAAUGUCUUGAAUUAGAACGAACGAAAACGCAAUUUGUGCAAUGAUGUUUAUUUAAAUACGACAUUCAAGUCAGACUUUUUUUUCUUCUAGAAAAGGCUAUAAAAAGCAGAACAAGAAUUAUGAAAUUGAUCGCCCACAUCACCAAAUAAAAACUGAUUUACCGACAGAUGAUUUGAAGUUCAAAAUUCCCGGUAGAUGUAAGGCAGCCAGAAUGACAAAAGUCUCAACCACCACCAACAAGAAAAAAGACUAAAAGGUUCUAGAGAUAUUUCAUGCAAGUCUCAUUUCCUCGAUUGUUUAUCGCUCUUGGUAAUCAAGGCA